rnacentral:rRNA from 1 species
UACGUAGGGUGCGAGCGUUAAUCGGAAUUACUGGGCGUAAAGCGUGCGCAGGCGGUCUUGUAAGACAGAGGUGAAAUCCCCGGGCUUAACCUGGGAACUGCCUUUGUGACUGCAAGGCUCGAGUGCGGCAGAGGGGGAUGGAAUUCCGCGUGUAGCAGUGAAAUGCGUAGAUAUGCGGAGGAACACCGAUGGCGAAGGCAAUCCCCUGGGCCUGCACUGACGCUCAUGCACGAAAGCGUGGGGAGCAAACAGG